CACCGCGGUUAUACGAGAGGCCUAAGUUGAUAGACAUCGGCGUAAAGAGUGGUUAGGGAAGACAUAAACUAAAGCCGAACACCUUCAAAGCUGUUAUACGCUAACGAAGGUAGGAAGCCCCCCUACGAAAGUGGCUUUAAAUUUCCUGACUCCACGAAAGCUGAGGUA
rnacentral:rRNA from 1 species